GUGGGGAAUAUUAGGCAAUGGGCGAAAGCCUGACCUAGCAACGCCGCGUGAAGGAAGAAGGCCUUCGGGUUGUAAACUUCUUUUAUGAGGGACGAAGGACGUGACGGUACCUCAUGAAUAAGCCACGGCUAACUACGUGCCAGCAGCCGCGGUAAUACGUAGGUGGCGAGCGUUGUCCGGAUUUACUGGGUGGAAAGGGCGCGUAGGCGGACUGGCAAGUCAGAUGUGAAAUACAGGGGCUCAACCCCUGAACGGCAUUUGAAACUGUUGAUCUUGAGUAUCGGAGAGGCAAGCGGAAUUCCUAGUGUAGCGGUGAAAUGCGUAGAUAUUAGGAGGAACACCAGUGGCGAGGGCGGCUUGCUGGACGACAACUGACGCUGAGGCGCGAAAGCGUGGGGAGCAAACAGGAUUAGAUACCCUAGUAGUCC
rnacentral:rRNA from 1 species